UGGGGAAUCUUGCACAAUGGGGGAAACCCUGAUGCAGCGACGCCGCGUGAACGAUGAAGCCCUUCGGGGUGUAAAGUUCUUUCGACAGGAACGAUAAUGACGGUACCAUAGGAAUAAGCACCGGCUAACUCCGUGCCAGCAGCCGCGGUAAUACGGAGGGUGCAAGCGUUAUCCGGAUUCACUGGGUUUAAAGGGUGCGUAGGCGGAUAUGUAAGUCAGUGGUGAAAUCAACGGGCUCAACCUGUUAACUGCCAUUGAUACUGUGUAUCUUGAAUAUGAGAGAGGUAGGCGGAAUGUUGCAUGUAGCGGUGAAAUGCUUAGAUAUGCUACGGAACACCGAUUGCGAAGGCAGCUUACUAUUUCGUAAUUGACGCUGAGGCACGAAAGCGUGGGUAGCGAACA
rnacentral:rRNA from 1 species